CCGCAUAGAGAGGGCUGAAAGCCCUAUGAAGCGGUAUAUAAGUCUAACUGCUAUUGCUAUUGCUAUAAUCAAUAGAACUUUAAUAUUGCUCGAUGUUGCAUCAAAUCCAGCUGUUUUUGUCAUAGGAAUUGUAGGGUGAAAACAUCACAUAUGCUCCUCUGUUGGACUAUAGCUUCUUCAUUCUAACUCACUGGUUCUGUUGCCUGAAGUUUAUGAAAGUAUGUUCGGUAUCUCUGGAGGCUUUAUAUGGCCCAUCCCUACUGUGGGGGAAAAGAGUGACCAGUAAAUUAUUGACAAAUCCAAGAAAUGCAGCUGUGUUAGUUUGUUGCAAGAAAUGACUGGUUGCACCCCAAAGAGAAGCUGUUUUAUUAUGACAAACAUUUCUGAACUGUCUAUGUUGCCAGGCUACAACUUAGUAGCUGUUUUUAAAGUUUCCAAAUUGUGUUGAUUUGGGAGUUGAACCUAAAAGAGGAAGCUGGAGAAUAAAAAUAAAUAUUCUCCUUCUUUUAGACCUCAAGAGGGUGUUGAAGAACAACAGAAUUGGAAAAGUUACUGUGUGAGAAUGUUUCAGAUAGAUUUCAUAAAGGGAGGGAUGUAGAUACUGAUAUAUCUAUCCCUCCCAAAUUUUUUGUGGUAGGAUAUCACGAGUUUAGAAUUCAUAAGGCUCAUAUGCAACUGAUUAAACAGCACUUAACAGUACGUAUGACUAGGCUAUUUGUGAAAUUCAAGGGAAAUUUUCGGUUCUUUACAUGUUGCAUGGAAUUUUCCUUUCUAGCUGAAUUGGCACUUGAAGCAGAAUCUGCUCUCUUACUGACCUUUGGAAUUGAAAGCUGUUGCAAACAUUUAACACGGCCCAUAUUGGAAAAAACAGAAUAAAUUUCAGCUAUUGUGGAAUAGUGGAUUACUUUGUUCUUGAGCUUGGGAUGAGUGGAGAGCAAAUCCUUUCUCAGCCCCAGAACUCACUGGGCAAUCUUCAAGCAGCAUUGUUUUAAGUCACAGAUUGUGCUAAAUCAUGAUUUGUUUAGCCACCGGUUUUUCAAUAAGCCGCAUUUGGCUGCAUUCUGGCAUACUUUAACAGAAAAAGAUAUCUAUGAUGCUCUUUAUUAUAGAAAACUACACAACACAAAGAGUAUUGGGUCUUUGAGAGAUUUUUCAUUACCUAAAUAAAACUUUUCCAAUGAUGUUGGCUGUAGGAAACUGGCAGGAAGCGCUGGAAAUCACAUGUGAUUGCAGCAAUGUGGCAAUACUUGAAGCAGCCCCAAAUUUGCUGUGGGUCUCAAAUUUGGGACACAUUUCUGUAAGUUACCCCAUUUGAGGAAUGUUGAUUCAAAAAUUGUUGCCCAGUGAUACACCAUUGUGUCCAAUUGAAGAUUGCAAUCAAACAAGAAAUAGUAGUAGUAUAUAGAUUGCAAGAUACUAUAGUAACCUAAGCCCCGUGCCCACCAGGCUCCCUAUCCCAGUUAAUUUUUUUUUCUUUCCUUUUUACGUUAGGGAGGGAAUCUGGCACUAUUAGUGCCAGCCAACCUCUAUUUUCAAGAUCUCUUAUGGGCACCAUAGAGUUUUUUUAGAACAUGAAAAUGAUAAGUGGCUUGUAAGCAUUGCUUAGUUUGGAUGGGAGCCUAUCUGCCCAGGAAAAGAACAAAGAUGCCUCAGGAAAACCAUGCAAGAUGCUCAGCAAUUAUUUGGAAGAGAAUUCAAAAUUCUAAAAGUGUCCAGUGGUCAGAAAGUUUUGGGGUCCCCUCUUCAUCAAUCAUAUUGGCUAUGUUCAAACAAUUUGCUAAACUGAAAUUAAACUAACCUAUUGUGGCUUACUGCGGUGUGUGAAUCCCAUCACUGAACUCGUUAAUAUUCUUAUAAGAAGAAAAGAAUAAUAAUUGCAGUGUAAUAAAUUAUUUAAAUUAGGAGUUUAAGAUGUAAUAAACCCAUUGGGCAAAAUGGCAUUAACUACA